CCUGAGGUUUCAAGAGGCUGAGUUGACGUCCAGGCAAAGACCGUGGCCACGGCACUUGAGACCCUUUAUGGGACUGGGCCUCGACUUUGCAUCUGGAGGCUGAGGGUUGACGAGAAGCCGAAGGAAGUAAAGGCAUCUCUGCAGAGGAUAUACAAUUGGGCGCAUCUAUCUUUGGACCUCCCCUUGGGUUCUCCCGAAGGCGAAGGUCCUCUUGGAAAGACGGAGAUCUGACAUACAUUGAUGCAAAUGGGAUCCCAACGGAAUACCAGAUGAGUAUAAGUUGGGUUAACGAGAUUGCUGCAGGAUGGGAAUUCAUCUUGUUAUGGAUAACUCUGAAUAAAAACGUUGACAGAAUCAACUACUUACAUUACAAUGUACAGAAAGUAGGUAAUUAUACGGAAGCAGGCUUUAUUGCCAUGAGGGAACAACCAGGUGCAACGUCACUCAUGACGUUCCAGCACCGCAUAGCGGUCGACAUGCUCCUGGCCAAGAAGGGUGGCGACUGCUCAAUGUUCAGUGACCAGUGUUGUUUACUCCAAAUAUCACAGCACCUGAUGGGUCACGCACAAGGGCCAUUCAAGGCCUCCACACCCUGAACCACAAGAUGAAGGAGCACUCUGGUGUAAACACAUCAGCCAGGUCUGAGUGGUGGGGAGAAAAAAAAAAAGUUUGGCAAAUCUAAAAAUUUGGUGUUCUCUGUCCUAGUUUCUAUAGCUGUUUGCAGUUAUUCUUUCAUUGUGUGGAUGUUGUUGUAUUCCAUCAUCACUUAACCCACUUAUAACCACUGCUAUUGCCCCGACAAAUUCAAAAUUGGCAGAAAUAUAUCCACUCUUGGCACAACAGGGUAAUGACAGUGAUAUUGUUGACCACGAUGAUGAUGUUAUGACUUCUCUUCCAGAUCUGUUCUCUGAUCCAGAAGAUUACAAGUAAUUAGUGCUAUAUUUUCCUCGGAGUGUAAGCCGAAAGGGUGAUCAAUUAGAUGAUUUAAGGAUUUGAGCAAAUGUAGGAUAAACAGGAGGUUAAUGUAGAAAUAAUUAUAAAUAGUAUUAAGUAACUGCUUCUGACUGCAAUGAAGAAAUGCUUUGCUCUGCUAGAAUUCAGUUACUGUUUCUGCCUGCAAUGAAAAAAUGCUUUGCUCUGCUCUAAUUCAGUUACUGUUUCUGCCUGCAAUGAAGAAAUGCUUUGCUCUGCUCCAAUUCAGUUACUGUUUCUGCCUACAAUGAAGAAAUGCUUUCCUCUGCUCCAAUUCAGUUACUGUUUCUGCCUGCAAUGAAGAAUGCUUUGCUCUGCUCUUGAAAAUGUGGUAGCAAAUGUAGGAUAAACAGGGGGGAAAUGUAGGAAUAAUAGUGAUCAUAAUUAUCAUACAUCUGCUUCCAAUAAAGAAAUGCUUUGCUCUGCUCUAGAUAACGUGGCAGCCUCCUCGCAGGAGAUAGCAAGAACAAAAACAUCUAAUCAUCAGAACUGUUAGAACUGCUGCCUGUUAAAGAAAUGAUGACCACACACGUAUUCAGCAAUCUUCCACACAUCCACACGCACAUGAACAAACAUGUACACCUUGUUUCAAACUGUUUUGCUUGUCGUCUCCUUUUUGUAACAUCCAUGUAAAUAAGGGGCAUUCUUAAAACUAAAUAAAUAGACGUGCUGAGAAGAUAAUCAGAGAGUGCAGUGGUGAAUUGUACGAGACAGUUCCUCUCCUCUCUCCUCGUGAGACUUGAACUGGUGUCGUUGCUUCCUUUUUUGUCCUGUUUAAUGAAUGUCUGAUUGGUGAACCUGACAGUUUCUUUUUUCCUUUUUCCUUCAAUUCAAGCUCUUGAGUUUGAGUGGAGUGGUAAUAACUUUAGAAGGGAUAUUUGAAUUACAAUGGAAAGCCAAACAUCUUCAAUAAGGAUGGCCUCUUUUCACGUGAAGGGUGUACGUAAUCCAUUAAAGGAGACUCUUUUAACCGAUACAGACCACCCUGUCAUGAUCCUGCCGCUCCAGCCCGGGCUGUGCAGGUGCCCGCGCGGUUGCGCUGAUUGGGAGGCGCACACCUGCGCCUCAUGCUUCCUGUGUAUUUAUAUGACCCCGAUGACGACUGGUCCGCGGCAGAUCGUUGAGCUUCAUGCCCAGUUCGAGUACUUCCGUAUCCCUGAUCAUCAACCCGUGUGUACCGACCUCCGUCUGUUCUCCGACCGACCCUGUAAGCCUGACUCCCUUGACACUUCUGCCUUCCUUGAUCGAUGUCCCGUGUACCGACUCCUGCCUGCCCGCUCACCUGCUCUCUUCGCCCGACGUCCCAACUACCGCUGCUGCACCUGACUGCCUGCCCGAUCCCCGACCAAGGAACAAUAAACGUUUCUCCCCGAACUACCUUGCAUCUUCCGAGCCUUGCAUUUGGGUCCUACUCCCUUUCCGAUGGGUCGUGAAACACCCUAAACUUAAUAGACAGGCCUUUAAACAGGUCUAUUCAUUAUCAUACAAAACAGGACACAGAUGGGGAGGGGGGUUGGUACAUUUGUGUUGAAAAGGGUGAUUUUUUAAAAUAUAUUAGAAAUCCUCUCUAAGGAAGGAAGAUAUAAUAUGGUUGUGGGGAGGUUGGAAGGGACAGAAAAUACUCAUAAAUGUUUAUGCACCCCCCCGUGUAACAUGGGAAUUCUACAGAUAAAUCUUAAUUUAAUUUAAAAUGUCAUGAUUACAAGAGGGCAGCACGGUGGCGCAGCUGGAAAGCGUUGACCUUACAGUUCUGAGGUCCAGGGAUUAAUCCCGUCCCCGUCUGUGUGGAGUUUGCAUGUUCUCCCCGUGCCUGCGUGGGUUUUCUCCGGCCACUCCGGUUUCCUCCAGAUCCAGAAAACAUGCAACAUUAAUCGGACACUCUAAAUUGCCCAUAGGUGUGACUGUGAGUGCGGCUGUUGUCUGAAAGGAGAAAAAUGGCGCUGGAUUCCACCAAACAUAAACAUCCUGCAUUGUAUCUUGUUUUGAAAGUGGUGCCAUAAAGCUGCUCUCCCAUUGGCUAUUGCUGGAGCAUCUUUCUGACAUCACAUUGGCUAGGGGGGACGUUAAUCUUUAUCCAUGACGUACAUCCUGUAUCUCGGUUUGUGUGGAACGAUAAAUGUGCUCUACCAUUGGCUAAUACGUAGCAUAUUCCUGGCAUCACAUCUCUAUUGGCUGGAAGGGACGUCAAUCUUUACCAAUAACGCACAUCCUGGAUCUUCAUCACCAAAACCAUUGUCAUAGGCUUGCGCACACUUGUAUUGUACAAAUUCUUUGUGGAUUUAUUCAUCUUUUUUCACUAUGGGCCCCAAGAAAUUCAUGGGUAGUGCCAGUGAGAAGACGUUUUGUACAUAAAAAAAAAAACAACCAAGAAAUCGUCGAGAAAUAUGAAAAAGGCAUACAUGCAUAUGGCCUCGGGGCUUAGAACAAAUUAUGCUAUUUACAUGUAAAAUGCAUUGAGAUGCGUCAUAGGUUAAAGGUAGAGGUGGCGAAGGCUAAAAGAGGCAUAGGACACCAUGUACACCAGAUUCGAUACGAAAGAAGGAGAAAAGGAUCCCUACAGGUUGGCCAGACAGAGGGAUAGAGAUGGGAAGGGUGGUGUGAGGGUGUUAGCUGCAUAAAGACACCUGUUCACCCCAUACAAUCAGUUAUAUUCAAACUUGUAACAUGGCCAAAGAGCUGUCCAAAGAGAACAGAGACAAAAUCGUACCACUCCAUACAGCUGGAAAGGGCUACGGAGAAAUUGGCAAGUAGCUUGGUGAAAAAAGGUCCACUGUUGGAGCAACCAUUAGAAAAUAGAAGAAGCUAAACAUGACGUGAUUGUGAGUGCAGCUGUUUGUCUCCUGCGAUUGGCUGGCAACCAGUUCAGGAUGUACCCCGCGUCCCGCCUGUUGACAGCUGGGAUAUGCUCCAGCACUCCCCGUGACCCUCGUGAGGAUAAGCGGUGAGAAAAUGGAUGGAUGGACAGUUACAAUAGCAGCUCAGCAGUGUGUAUGUGUAAUGUUUUUACCCAAAAAUAUAAGUGUAUAUUAAUUAAAGUCCGCAAACUGUGACCUAGUUUCUCUUACAUGCAAAACGACUUAUUUCGUGGGCGGACCUCUUAUGUGACAAAUUCUGGGAUGUGCUGCUUUGGAACAACGAUAAGGUGAGAGUCUUUUGUAUUCACUACGAAGAAAAACCCAUUCGUUUCAAAAAUUC